CGGGUUGUAAAGCACUUUCAGUCAGGAGGAAAGGUUAGUAGUUAAUACCUGCUAGCUGUGACGUUACUGACAGAAGAAGCACCGGCUAACUCCGUGCCAGCAGCCGCGGUAAAAA
rnacentral:rRNA from 1 species